rnacentral:tRNA from 1 species
AAAUAAGAAAAUCAGUUUCGACCUGAUAAAAGAUACAUUAUAUCCUUAUUUA